rnacentral:rRNA from 1 species
AAAACCACGAGUUUGAUCGUGGCUCAGAACGAACGCUGGCGGCAGGCUUAACACAUGCAAGUCGAACGCUCGUAGCAAUACGGGAGUGGCGGACGGGUGAGUAACGCGUGGGAACGUGCCCUGAGGUUGGGAAUAACUGCGGGAAACUGCAGCUAAUACCUGAUGCGCCCCGAGAGGGGGAAAGAUUUAUCGCCUUGGGAGCGGCCCGCGUCGGAUUAGCUAGUUGGUGGGGUAACGGCCUACCAAGGCUUCGAUCCGUAGCUGGUCUGAGAGGACGAUCAGCCACACUGGGACUGAGACACGGCCCAGACUCCUACGGGAGGCAGCAGUGGGGAAUCUUGCGCAAUGGGGGCAACCCUGACGCAGCCAUGCCGCGUGAAUGAUGAAGGCCUUAGGGUUGUAAAGUUCUUUUGCCCGUGACGAUGAUGACGGUAACGGGAGAAUAAGCUCCGGCUAACUUCGUGCCAGCC